rnacentral:tRNA from 1 species
GGUGGAGGACCAGUGGUUAGGUUGCUCGUCUAGAACUUGGGAGACCCAGGUUAAAUUCCUGGCUGUACCA